UAUGCACGCUGGCGGCGUGCUUAACACAUGCAAGUCGAACGAUGAAGCCCAGCUUGCUGGGUGGAUUAGUGGCGAACGGGUGAGUAACACGUGAGUAACCUGCCCUUGACUCUGGGAUAAGCCUGGGAAACUGGGUCUAAUACUGGAUAUGACUUCUCAUCGCAUGGUGGGGGGUGGAAAGAUUUAUUGGUCUUGGAUGGACUCGCGGCCUAUCAGCUUGUUGGUGAGGUAAUGGCUCACCAAGGCGACGACGGGUAGCCGGCCUGAGAGGGUGACCGGCCACACUGGGACUGAGACACGGCCCAGACUCCUACGGGAGGCAGCAGUGGGGAAUAUUGCACAAUGGGCGCAAGCCUGAUGCAGCGACGCCGCGUGAGGGAUGACGGCCUUCGGUUUGUAAACCUCUUUCAGUAGGGAAGAAGCGAGAGUGACGGUACCUGCAGAAGAAGCGCCGGCUAACUACGUG
rnacentral:rRNA from 1 species